CUUCCUCACUCCUCCCCCCUCCUCUUUCUCCUCCCGUUCCUUCUGCUCUCGCGGCAUCUCCGGGGACGAGAAGUGCGCCGAGACUUCUGGUGAUGCGCCGACUGGAGGGAACAGCCCGUGGGCAAACUGCGCAGUAGCGCAGUCGCGAGGCGUGCCAGAGACGGUUGGGGCGGCUUACUUCCGCGCGUGCGCGAGGUUUGGGCGGCCCUGAUGUAGCUUUUUUCUAGCCGAGGCGGUGCGUGCCUAUGUUGGCGAGGUGACCACGCAGGGACUCUGGGGAGGAGGGCAGGUGAUCAUCCUGUUACAGUGAAACUACCACCUCAAGGCAGCACAAAACAUCUGUGAAAAUACUGAUUACUGAGUUCAAUUUCGACUUUAUUAUCAGUUCAAAAUGUGUCUUAUAUCUGUAGAAACAAAGCCAAAAGCAACCCAAGAUAUUCUAAGAAAACUAGUUUGGAUACUAGGUACUCUAAAGGAUGUAAAGAAAGAUGUGAUUUCAGUCAAAGAAAGUUGUAAGAAAAUAAAGAGAAAUUAUACAGAAAUGAACAUCCUCAUGGAUAAAAUGUUGCUGGAAACAGCAGAAAUGAGAAGUGGUCUAGUACAGCAAAAAAUAGACAGGGGAAAGAAAAUGGAAGAACAAGUUCGUAAUGUAACACAACUAGAAAACCAGUUGGUAAAAGUGCAAGAAAAAGUGACCAACCUUGAAGAUAGCUGCAAAGAAGCAAGCCUCAGAAUAAUUGGCAUAUCUGAGGGUAUUGAAAGGGAAAGGAAUCUGAAUCUUGUUAAGCUGAGGAAAUAAUUCAAGAGAAUUUUCCCUAAUUGACAUCCUGAAAUAAGAAAAAUAAUUCACUCCCAACAAGAAGGAAACCUGAAAUCCAAGUGUAAGGCACAUUCUCAUCAGACUUUAAAAUCCAAGUCAGAAUCUUCUAAGCCUUGAGAAGAAGAAAUCAUAUCAGAAAACACUGAUCUACAUUUUGUCAUACUUUGUAGUUAAAACUAUGGAAAAAUAGUGAUGUUGACACAGAAUGGAAAACUAAAAGAUAAGGACUUGGAUUCUAGAGUCAGACUUGCAGCAAACCUACACAUUCUUUUUGAAGGCAGAAGAAUGAUGUUUAAAAAUUCAGCCUUCAAAGAAUUCCUUGACAAAAGACUACAACUAUAAAGGACUUUUUGAGAAGAGGGGAAACCAGGACUCCCUUGGGUGGAUAAGUAGUUAAGAUAUUCAGCAAAGAGUUCCUAAAUUGUGUUGUUAAGGAUAGUUUUGAUUAUAAAAAAAAGUUUACAGUUUCUUAAAUGUAAAAUUUAACAUAAAGCAUUAAUUAAACUACUGUGUUUGGAAUACUCCUAAUAAAAUAUAAGGUUUCUCCUUA